UACGUAGGGGGCUAGCGUUGGUCGGAAUCACUGGGCGUAAAGGGUGCGUAGGCGGGUCUUUAAGUUAGGGGGGAAAUCCUGGAGCUCAACUCCAGAACUGCCUUUGAUACUGAAGAUCUUGAGUUCGGGAGAGGUGAGUGGAACUGCGAGUGUAGAGGUGAAAUUCGUAGAUAUUCGCAAGAACACCAGUGGCGAAGGCGGCUCACUGGCCCGAUACUGACGCUGAGGCACGAAAGCGUGGGGAGCAAACAGG
rnacentral:rRNA from 1 species